rnacentral:rRNA from 1 species
UACGUAGGGUGCGGGCGUUAAUCGGAAUUACUGGGCGUAAAGCGUGCGCAGGCGGCUUCCUAAGUCAGAUGUGAAAUCCCCGGGCUUAACCUGGGAACUGCGUUUGAAACUGGGAGGCUAGAGUGCGGCAGAGGGGGGUGGAAUUCCACGUGUAGCAGUGAAAUGCGUAGAUAUGUGGAGGAACACCGAUGGCGAAGGCAGCCCCCUGGGCCUGCACUGACGCUCAUGCACGAAAGCGUGGGGAGCAAACAGG